rnacentral:rRNA from 1 species
CUAGCCAUAAACCUAGAUAGACUACACAACCACACCUAUCCGCCAGAGAAUUACAAGUGAAAAGCUUAAAACUCAAAAGACUUGACGGUGCCCCAAACCAGCCUAGAGGAGCCUGUCCUAUAAUCGAUACUCCACGAUACACCUCACCCCCCCCACCAAUUCCAGCCUAUAUACCGCCGUCGCCAGCCUACCUAAUGAUAGACCAAAAGUAGGUACAAUAGCCCCCCACUAACACGUCAGGUCAAGGUGUAGCUAAUGGGCGGGAAAGCGAUGGGCUACAUUUUCUACACACAGACCAUACCAUAAGCCCUAUGAAACAUGGGCUGAAAGGCGGAUUUAGCAGUAAGUGUGGCAAGAAUGCCUAGCUGAAACCUGCUCUGGGCCGC